rnacentral:rRNA from 1 species
UACGUAGGGGUGCAAGCGUUGUCCGGAAUUAUUGGGCGUAAAGAGCUCGUAGGCGGUUUGUCGCGUCUGCUGUGAAAACUGGGGGCUCAACCCCCAGCCCUGCAGUGGGUACGGGCAGACUAGAGUGCGGUAGGGGAGAUUGGAAUUCCUGGUGUAGCGGUAGAAUGCGCAGAUAUCAGGAGGAACACCGAUGGCGAAGGCAGAUCUCUGGGCCGUAACUGACGCUGAGGAGCGAAAGCAUGGGGAGCGAACAGG